UUGUGUAAAGUUUAGGAUGUGCAGAUUUCAAACCAGUAAAGAUUGUGACCACAAUGUCUAACUAUUUAUUAUUUCCAAUAUCAAAUUAGUUUACCUUUGUGAAUUAACUGCAAGGGAGCAUGGGAUGGAGAGUGCAGUUGCAUUCAAGUACUGCUGGUGGACAUCUGAUAAGCAACUGACUGGGUGCUGUAUGAACAAAAUGUUGAACCAGAUGUCAGGUGCAUUUCAGUAGCACAGGCGAGACCAAAUCAACCUAAAUAUUUUACUGUGAUAUGGGUUUUCAAAGACUGCCAUUCCUCAUCAGAACCUCCAGAGUUUCUCCAAUAUUUGCACCAGGAUACUAUGGAACACCUUGAGAAGUGACUGUGAAAGAUGCAAGAGAAUGGGGUUUUCACUGCACCCACCAGUUGUAAAUGUGAACAAAAAUAACUCUUCGGAUUGUUUAUAAAAAGGAAACUCAGCUUUCCAGUUGGAAUGGUUCUGCACUA